rnacentral:rRNA from 1 species
AUUGAACGCUGGCGGCAUGCCUUUACACAUGCAACGUACGGAACGGCCAGCGGACGGGAGGCAAUCCUGGUGGCGAGUGGCGAACGGGUGAGUAAUAUAUCGGAACGUGCCCAGUCGUGGGGGAUAACGUAGCGAAAGCUACGCUAAUACCGCAUACGAUCUAUGGAUGAAAGCGGGGGGAUCGCAAGACCUCGCGCGAUUGGAGCGGCCGAUAUCAGAUUAGGUAGUUGGUGGGGUAAAAGCCUACCAAGCCUUCGAUCUGUAGCUGGUCUGAGAGGACGACCAGCCACACUGGAACUGAGACACGGUCCAGACUCCUACGGGAGGCAGCAGUGGGGAAUAUUGCGCAAUGGGCGAAAGCCUGACGCAGCCACGCCGCGUGAGCGAUGAAGGCC